rnacentral:rRNA from 1 species
CCCAGCAGCCAUAUCACUUAAACGUACAACUCAAAACUGGCAACCCACUGAAGCUCAGCAGAUGCGAGCCUGGUCAGUACCUGGAUUGGAGACCUCCUGGGAAAAACUAAGGUUGCUGCUGGAA